rnacentral:rRNA from 1 species
CCGCCUAAGGCGGGACAGAUGACUGGGGUGAAGUCGUAACAAGGUAGCCGUAGGAGAACCUGCGGCUGGAUCACCUCCUUUCUAAGGAAUAA